GUGGGGAAUCUUGCGCAAUGGGGGCAACCCUGACGCAGCCAUGCCGCGUGAAUGAUGAAGGCCUUAGGGUUGUAAAGUUCUUUUGCCCGUGACGAUGAUGACGGUAACGGGAGAAUAAGCUCCGGCUAACUUCGUGCCAGCAGCCGCGGUAAUACGAAGGGGGCUAGCGUUGUUCGGAAUUACUGGGCGUAAAGCGCGCGCAGGCGGUUUGGUAAGUUAGGGGUGAAAUCCCCGGGCUCAACCCGGGAAUGGCCUUUAAGACUGCCAGGCUAGAGGACGAGAGAGGUGAGUGGAAUUCCCAGUGUAGAGGUGAAAUUCGUAGAUAUUGGGAAGAACACCGGUGGCGAAGGCGGCUCACUGGCUCGUUUCUGACGCUGAGGCGCGAAAGCGUGGGGAGCAAACAGGAUUAGAAACCCCAGUAGUCC
rnacentral:rRNA from 1 species